AGCGAACGCUGGCGGCAGGCCUAACACAUGCAAGUCGAACGAACUCUUCGGAGUUAGUGGCGGACGGGUGAGUAACACGUGGGAACGUGCCUUUAGGUUCGGAAUAACUCAGGGAAACUUGUGCUAAUACCGAAUGUGCCCUUCGGGGGAAAGAUUUAUCGCCUUUAGAGCGGCCCGCGUCUGAUUAGCUAGUUGGUGAGGUAAAGGCUCACCAAGGCUACGAUCAGUAGCUGGUCUGAGAGGAUGACCAGCCACAUUGGGGCUGAGACACGGCCCAAACGCCUACGGGAGGCAGCAGUGGGGAAUCUUGCGCAAUGGGCGAAAGCCUGACGCAGCCAUGCCGCGUGGAUGAUGAAGGUCUUAGGAUUGUAAAAUCCUUUCGCCGGUGAAGAUAAUGACUGUAGCCGGAGAAGAAGCCCCGGCUAACUUCGUGCCAGCCGCCGCAGUAAGAC
rnacentral:rRNA from 1 species